ensembl:lncRNA
CAGGCCCGAAGACGGUAGGGUCCUCUACGUCUUCCUCGAUGCCCUCAUCCUCCUCCAGCGCCUCGAUGGCAGGAGCCUCGUCCGGAGUGUCAGGGUCCAGGCUGACGUCCUCAAGCACUUUGCCGGUCUGCUGGUACAGGUACUCCACUCCGAUGAGCUCCCCUGUCACACAGAGAAGGAUUCAGUAGCGGCUCGUUUUGCUGUCAGUUACGAGAUGAGGUGUUUUCACAUCGCAUACCUGUGUACUCAGCCGGCUCGGUGAAGUCCUUAACCAUCUGAAGACCAAGCACUCUUUGGCUCUUCUGGUUAAGGACGUGCUUGAGGUGGCCACUGUAGGAGUGCAGAGGUCCCAGCCGUCCCUCGACUGCAGCCGGUGGUGGUGCAGCUGCCGCUGCGCGGUCCUCGUUCCACCUCACCAGUCCAUCCACCAGGAACGCCUGGAAGUGCUUGGCGCUGGCCCGGGUCCCUGGGGAAGGGGGGGGGGUUUGGAUCAGACACGAGUUUGCAUUUUCUUAAAGUUCAAAUAGAGAUUACAUUUUGUCACGAGCCGCGAGACACACGCCGGUACCUGGGAUGAACCGGUUAAGGUGGAGGUGGAAGGACUCCAGAGAGGUGGAGCCCCUCGCGCAGCGAUAUACGGGCAGGCUGACUCCUCCCUUGGUCAGCCGGCCCGUCUGGGUGUACAGCUGCACACCUGGCGGGUCCUGGAUGCAGCUGAGGUGGGUCCUCUGCGUACUCCAUAUUUCCUGGAUGCGGAGAGCGUUGAGCAACGGGAUGCCCAGGUUGUUGCGUCCUGCCGGUCCACCGAAGGUGUCGAGGAGCUCCUGGAUGAGGAGGGCCGAUUCCUCAGGCCCCCGUGUCCUGCGGCGGACGUGGAGCCUCCACUCCUCCUUGGAGAUCCUCUGGUUCACCGCGGCGUCCGUCAGUCCAACCAUCCCGUGCUUCCCCUCCAGCUGGGACCGCUUAGCCUCUGCGAGACGGCGUGCAUCUCCGGCGUCCACCUCAAAGAUGCAGUUAGACAGCUGCCUCAUGAAGGUGGGGUACAGCUCGUGGCUCUCGGUGUUGACACCUGAUGCGAAGCGUCGCAUCAGGUGCCAGAUGUCCAGUCUCACCACGAGAUGCUCCCACUCCUGCGAAACAAACAAAACGUUAAACUCUCCAGCCACGGUGCUGAUGCAGCACAACUGUCAACAGUGUCCUUUUCACACCUGAAACAAGACAGCUGUCUUUGACACGCCGUCCCUGUUGCAGCAGUCGCGGUCCACGUAGAUCAGCUGGGGGGGAGGUACCCCGGCGAGUCGGUACCGCCUCAUCAAGCCGGCCGCCAUCCCGGACAGGCCCCCGGCGCUCUCUCGGUGGAGGUGAGGACGCUCAUGAGGACCUGCCCGUGCUCAUUGCCGACGUUGGUAGCCCAGGCGGCCGUGUCGGAGGCGAUACCCGCGAGCUUCUUUGUCACCUGCAGAGAGAUUCUGAGAGUUAAUGUGAGAAACACACAGCAGCUGGAAGGAAAAGAAACUGACAGACUCCACUCGCCUUCUUGGUGGAGUCCAUCUUUUUGAUUGACCCGAAGGUGGACGUGAUCCUGGCCUUGUACUCAUCCAGCCGCGCCAGGACGUCGUAGCUGUACACGGUCAGCAGCCAGACGGGGGAUGGCAGAGGGGGCAUCUCGGGCAGAGUUGCCUGGACCGGGCAACUCCUCCCGUUCCUCCACGGCAACGGGUGCGGACGGCGUCAAGGGGGCGGCUGGAGGCGAGGGAGCCGGUGUCCCGGCAGGCUGAACCACGACGAGGGCUGCAGAAGGUCUAUCUCCUGUGAGGCUUCCAGCAGCUCCUCGUCUGUGGGCUCGUCCAGCAGAGUAGAGACACCGGCUCCCGGAGGAGGAGGUGCUGCUGAGGAGGAGGCGGCGGCGGCGGCGGCAGCAGCAGCAGCGGGUGGUGGCAGGCGCAAAAGGGGAGCCUUUGCAAUCAAGGCUUGAAGGUCUCCAAGUCAACUACCGCCUUGACCAGCUCUUCAUCUGUAGGCUCCACAGAUGACUGGGUGGAGGACAGAGCUGGUCUGAAGGGGCUGAAGUUGGGGGCUGCAGACACAUGAUGGCAGAAGAUAAACCAGGAACACAGGAGCGUAGAUCAAGUGGAACGUCAGUAAAUAACGGAGGCUGGACUGACCUGUAGAUGCAGGCUUAGGGGCCACCAGCUUCUUCACCUGGGCCUGCAUCUCCACAGCAGAUAGAGAACGCCGACCAGAGACAAACUCCACAAGCGCUGGACCAAGAGGCCUAUUAUGACACACGAUAAAUGAGAGGCAACGACAUUAACAAUGACACAACGUUACAAACAUUUCUUCAGGAACACGUACUGUGAUGCACUCGUGGCUCUCUGGCUUGUGGCCGAUGCAGAGGCUGCGCUGCUGCUGGAGGUGGAGGUAGAUGCUCCAGCAGCAGCUUUCAUCCUCUGCAUGUCUCUGCUGCGCACAUACUGGACGGCGUUCUCCAUCUGCGUCUCUGGAGCUGGUGAUGUCCUCCGGAGAUUCGUAGAGGCUCUCCAGGGUCUCGAAUUUGAAGUCCCCGAAGCCAACGAGGGCCCGUCCCUCCUGACCGGGCUGGAGGGAAUUUGCCUGCGCCUCCUCAAAUGCCCUGUGGAACCUGACAGCCUCCACAAAGUCAGGAUAGGCGGAGGAGUAGCGGGUGAAGGCGUCCUGUGAGGUUACAAAGUGAGAUAACACAGUGAGGUUAAAUGCCAUCAUUUCUCUAAUUGUAACUGUCUCAAAGUAUUGUGAAGGACCUUGUUGGCCAUCAGCGGGGACUGAGACUGCGUCCUCUCGCGCUCCUUCUGGUGGGAGGCGACCAGAUUGACGCUGUAGCCCACGUCGUUCUCCAGGAGCCAGAGGAAGGUUCUGCCCUGGUAGCGGCCAAACUGCACCUUCCACCGGCUCAGAACCAGGGCGGCGUUGGCGGUGUCACCGCCCUUGGAGACGACAUGAACCCAGGCCUCCGAGUCCACCUCCUCCGGCCUCUUUGCCCUGUAAGGCGCCUGGGCACUGGGGGGCUGCCGCGUGAAGAGGGCCUGGGCCUCUGGGGAGGCCGUGGGCAGGAUGGUCCCGUUAGGGGCCCUUCUGCAUGUAGGAUGCUCCAUCUAAACAAAUGGACAUUUUAGCAGCACACGGGAGAAAGAAGAAGACAUGACACGUGACACUCCCA